rnacentral:rRNA from 1 species
UACAGAGGGGGCAAGCGUUGUUCGGAAUUACUGGGCGUAAAGGGCGCGUAGGCGGCCUGCUAAGUCGAACGUGAAAUCCCUGGGCUCAACCCAGGAACUGCGUCCGAUACUGGUUGGCUUGAAUCCGGGAGAGGGAUGUGGAAUUCCAGGGUGUAGCGGUGAAAUGCGUAGAUAUCUGGAGGAACACCGGUGGCGAAGGCGACAUCCUGGACCGGUAUUGACGCUGAGGCGCGAAAGCCAGGGGAGCAAAGCGGG